CCGGAGGAAGUGGGGAUGACGUCAAGUCAUCAUGGCCCUUACGGCCUGGGCUACACACGUGCUACAAUGGUCGGUACAAAGGGUUGCCAAAGCCGCGAGGUGGAGCUAAUCCCAUAAAACCGAUCGUAGUCCGGAUCGCAGUCUGCAACUCGACUGCGUGAAGUCGGAAUCGCUAGUAAUCGUGAAAUCAGAAUGUCACGGUGAAUACGUUCCCGGGCCUU
rnacentral:rRNA from 1 species